rnacentral:rRNA from 1 species
GGAUAACUACUGGAAACGGUAGCUAAUACCUCAUACUCCUUUUAUGGUAAGCAUAAAAGGGAAAUGUUUUUUCGCUGAAGGAUGAGACUAUAUGAUAUCAGGUAGUUGGUGGGGUAAGAGCCUACCAAGCCAAUGACAUCUAACUGGUCUGAGAGGAUGAUCAGUCACACUGGAACUGAGACACGGUCCAGACUCCUACGGGAGGCAGCAGUGGGGAAUAUUGCACAAUGGGGGGAACCCUGAUGCAGCAACGCCGCGUGGAGGAUGACACAUUUCGGUGCGUAAACUCCUUUUAUAUGGGAAGAUAAUGACGGUACCAUAUGAAUAAGCACCGGCUAACUCCGUGCCAGCAGCCGCGGUAAUACGGAGGGUGCAAGCGUUACUCGGAAUCACUGGGCGUAAAGCGCAUGCAGGCGGCUUUGUAAGUUGGAAGUAAAAUCCACUGGCUUAACCAGUGAACUGCUUCCAAAACUACUUAGCUAGAGUCUGGGAGGGGAAGAUGGAAUUAGUAGUGUAGGGGUAAAAUCCGUAGAGAUUACUAGGAAUACCAAAAGCGAAGGCGAUCUUCUGGAACAGUACUGACGCUGAGAUGCGAAAGCGUGGGGAGCAAACAGGAUUAGAUACCCUGGUAGUCCACGCAGUAAACGAUGAAUGUUAGUCGUCGGUAUGCAAGUCAUAUCGGUGAUGCAGUUAACACAUUAAACAUUCCGCCUGGGGAGUACGGUCGCAAGAUUAAAACUCAAAGGAAUAGACGGGGACCCGCACAAGUGGUGGAGCAUGUGGUUUAAUUCGAAGAUACGCGAAGAACCUUACCUAGCCUUGACAUUGAAAGAUACUAUAGAGAUAUGGUAGUGCCCUUUUGGGAGCUUGAAAACAGGUGCUGCACGGCUGUCGUCAGCUCGUGUCGUGAGAUGUUGGGUUAAGUCCCGCAACGAGCCGCACCCUCGUCCCUAGUUACUAACGGUUCGGCCAAGGACUUUAUUGGAACUGCCUUCUUAAGGAGGAGGAAGGUGAGGACAACUCCAAGUCUCCUGGCCCUUACGGUAAGGGUACACCCGGCUUAAAGGGUUAGAAAUGGAAAAGGAACCCCCGGAGGGGAGCAACUUUAAACCUAUUCCCCUUCGGGAAGGACUUCGCCCCCCGGCCUUUGAAGGGGAACCCAAAAACUGAAAAACAAAGGCCCGGGGAAAAUCUCCCGGCUUUGUUCCCCCCCCCCCCCACCGGGGGGGUAUUCCCCCACGGGGGAAAUAUUUGUCCCCUCCCGGGAAAAAAAUGGGGGGAUAAAAAAAAAAGGGGGAUCCCCCCUCCGGGCUUUUUUAAAAACACAACUAACCGGGUAUAUUUUUUUUUGUUG